ACAUGCCAUAGGGGCUAUUGAUGGGAAACAUGUUAUUAUUCAGGCUCCAAUUAAUUCAGGUUCAGUUUAUUUUAACUACAAAGGAAGUCAUUCAAUUGUCCUUUUAGCAGUGUGUGAUGCACAAUACAAAUUUAUUUUGUUUGAUAUUGGUGGAGCUGGGCGUCAAAGUGAUGGUGGAACUUUAUCUAAUUCACAAUUUGUAAGAGCACUUGAGUCUGAAAUUUUGUCAAUUCCAGAUAACUGUCCUUUACCUGGUACAACUCAUCCAAGUUUACCAUAUGUUGUUGUGGGUGAUGAGGCUUUUCCUUUAUGAAAUAAUAUGCUACGUCCAUAUCCAAAAAGAAA